ACGUUAAAUGCAGCUGACUGGAAGGGCUUUCAUCACAAAUGUGGAGAAAACUUUGUGAAAUAUCACAAAUCAAGCCAAGGGAAAGACUUCAGGUCAUUUGUACAACUUGCACCCUUUACAGUUCAUCACGCAGGAUUUAGUAAAGAAAUAGUAAAACUUUGGUGUCUAUUGUCUGAGAUUGUUCAGUUGAGUAACAAAAUGAAAUUGCUGGAAUCGGAACU